ensembl:snRNA U6 U6 spliceosomal RNA
GUGCUCACUUUGGGAGCACAUAUAUUAAAAUUGGAAUGAUACAGAGAAAACUAGCAUGGCCCCUGCACAAGGAUGACACAUAAUGUACAUCAAGUAUACCAUAUUUGU